UGGGGAAUAUUGCACAAUGGGCGAAAGCCUGAUGCAGCGACGCCGCGUGAGGGAUGACGGCCUUCGGGUUGUAAACCUCUUUCAGCAGGGAAGAAGCGAAAGUGGACGGUACCUGCAGAAGAAGCGCCGGUAACUACGUGCCAGCAGCCGCGGUAAUACGUAGGGCGCAAGCGUUGUCCGGAAUUAUUGGGCGUAAAGAGCUCGUAGGCGGUUAGUCGCGUCUGCUGUGAAAACUCGAGGCCCAACCUCGGGCUUGCAGUGGGUACGGGCUGACUAGAGUGCGGUAGGGGUGACUGGAAUUCCUGGUNUAGCGGUGGAAAUGCGCAGAUAUCAGGAGGAACACCGAUGGCGAAGGCAGGUCACUGGGCCGCAACUGACGCUGAGGAGCGAAAGCAUGGGGAGCGAACAGGAUUAGAUACCCUGGUAGUCCAUGCCGUAAACGUUGGGCACUAGGUGUGGGUCCAUUCCACGGAUUCCGUGCCGCAGCAAACGCAUUAAGUGCCCCGCCUGGGGAGUACGGCCGCAAGGCUAAAA
rnacentral:rRNA from 1 species